GGCGACGUGGCCAAGUGGCUAAGGCAGAGGUCUGCAAAACCUCCAUCACCGGUUCGAAUCCGGUCGUCGCCU
rnacentral:tRNA from 1 species